rnacentral:rRNA from 1 species
CCUACGGGAGGCAGCAGUGGGGAAUAUUGCACAAUGGGCGAAAGCCUGAUGCAGCAACGCCGCGUGAGCGAUGAAGGCCUUCGGGUCGUAAAGCUCUGUCCUAUGGGAAGAUAAUGACGGUACCAUAGGAGGAAGCCCCGGCUAACUACGUGCCAGCAGCCGCGGUAAUACGUAGGGGGCAAGCGUUAUCCGGAAUUACUGGGCGUAAAGGGUGCGUAGGCGGUUUAUCAAGUCAGGGGUGAAAGGCUACGGCUCAACCGUAGUGAGCCUCUGAAACUGGUGAACUUGAGUGUAGGAGAGGAAAGUGGAAUUCCCAGUGUAGCGGUGAAAUGCGUAGAUAUUGGGAGGAACACCAGUGGCGAAGGCGACUUUCUGGACUACAACUGACGCUGAGGCACGAAAGCGUGGGGAGCAAACAGGAUUAGAUACCCUGGUAGUCCACGCUGUAAACGAUGAGUACUAGGUGUCGGCUGUCAAAGGUCGGUGCCGGCGUUAACACAUUAAGUACUCCGCCUGGGGAGUACGCUCGCAAGAGUGAAACUCAAAUGAAUUGACGG